AGCUUUGCCAAUUAUUGUUUGCGGUAUCUCCUUUGAUGGGGAAAUCGUGAACACAAAAGCCGGCACUUGUGAUCCUUGCAUCUUUGCAUAAAAUAUGCAUUGUUUGCAAAGGUGAAUAAGCUGUUAGCUGAGAUCUCGGUUGCGGAAAGAUUAUGGCGGUGACCUCGAAGUAAUUCUGGUCCCGCUAAGCAUGUUUGUCUCUCCGGACAAAAGAUGACGGUCAAGUCCUUGUCUGUUCCCACUUUCCUAGUGUUUGUGGGAAUUUGAUGUGGUCUUGCCGUGAUUUAUGAAUGC
rnacentral:misc_RNA from 1 species